CAGGCAGAGCCUUGCGUGUGUUCUUAUUGGUAGUGUGGCUGGUAAUCUAUCAUAAGACACACGCGGCUCUCUCUG
rnacentral:pre_miRNA from 1 species